GACGAACGCUGGCGGCGUGCUUAACACAUGCAAGUCGAACGGAAAGGCCCUGCUUUUGUGAGGUGCUCGAGUGGCGAACGGGUGAGUAACACGUGAGUAACCUGCCCUUGACUUUGGGAUAACUUCAGGAAACUGGGGCUAAUACCGGAUAGGAGCUCCUGCUGCAUGGUGGGGGUUGGAAAGUUUCGGCGGUUGGGGAUGGACUCGCGGCUUAUCAGCUUGUUGGUGGGGUAGUGGCUUACCAAGGCUUUGACGGGUAGCCGGCCUGAGAGGGUGACCGGCCACAUUGGGACUGAGAUACGGCCCAGACUCCUACGGGAGGCAGCAGUGGGGAAUAUUGCACAAUGGGCGGAAGCCUGAUGCAGCAACGCCGCGUGCGGGAUGACGGCCUUCGGGUUGUAAACCGCUUUCGCCUGUGACGAAGCAUGAGUGACGGUAAUGGGUAAAGAAGCACCGGCUAACUACGUG
rnacentral:rRNA from 1 species